rnacentral:rRNA from 1 species
GUCGCACGAGUUCAGACUCGUGGCAGAUAGCUCAGUAACACGUGGCCAAACUACCCUGUCGAUCGGGACACCCUCGGGAAACUGAGGCUAAUCCCGGAUACGGCUCGCUGCCUGGAGUUGGCGCGAGCUCGAAACGUUCAGGCGCGACAGGAUGUGGCUGCGGCCGAUUAGGUAGACGGUGGGGUAACGGCCCACCGUGCCGAUAAUCGGUACGGGUUGUGAAAGCAAGAGCCCGGAGACGGAAUCUGAGACAAGAUUCCGGGCCCUACGGGGCGCAGCAGGCGCGAAACCUUUACACUGCACGCGAGUGCGAUAGGGGGACUCCAAGUGCGAGGGCAUACAGUCCUCGCUUUUCACCACCGUAAGGAGGUGGUAGAAUAAGUGCUGGGCAAGACCGGUGCCAGCCGCCGCGGUAAUACCGGCAGCACGAGUGAUGACCGCUAUUAUUGGGCCUAAAGCGUCCGUAGCCGGCCGGGCAAGUCCAUCGGGAAAUCCGCACGCCUAACGUGCGGGCGUCCGGUGGAAACUGCUUGGCUUGGGACCGGAAGAUCCAGAGGGUACGUCUGGGGUAGGAGUGAAAUCCCGUAAUCCUGGACGGACCACCGGUGGCGAAAGCGCUCUGGAAAGACGGAUCCGACGGUGAGGGACGAAAGCUUGGGUCACGAACCGGAUUAGAUACCCGGGUAGUCCAAGCUGUAAACGAUGUCUGCUAGGUGUGGCACAGGCUACGAGCCUGUGCUGUGCCGUAGGGAAGCCGUGAAGCAGACCGCCUGGGAAGUACGUCUGCAAG